GUGAGGAAUAUUGGGCAAUGGGCGAAAGCCUGACCCAGCCACGCCGCGUGAGUGAUGAAGGCCUUCGGGUUGUAAAGCUCUGUGGGGAGGGAAGAAAAAGCGCAGGAGUAACUGCCUGUGUGUUGACGGUACCUCCUUAGCAAGCACCGGCUAACUCUGUGCCAGCAGCCGCGGUAAUACAGAGGGUGCAAACGUUGCUCGGAAUUACUGGGCGUAAAGCGCGUGUAGGCUGACAUGCAAGUCGGGUGUGAAAUCCCAGGGCUCAACCUUGGAACUGCACUCGAAACUGCACGUCUUGAGUACUGGAGAGGGAAGCGGAAUUCCGGGUGUAGAGGUGAAAUUCGUAGAUAUCCGGAGGAACACCAGUGGCGAAGGCGGCUUCCUGGACAGUAACUGACGCUGAGACGCGAAAGCGUGGGGAGCAAACAGGAUUAGAAACCCCGGUAGUCC
rnacentral:rRNA from 1 species